rnacentral:rRNA from 1 species
UGGGGAAUAUUGGACAAUGGGCGCAAGCCUGAUCCAGCCAUGCCGCGUGAGUGAUGAAGGCCCUUGGGUUGUAAAGCUCUUUCACCGGUGAAGAUAAUGACGGUAACCGGAGAAGAAGCCCCGGCUAACUUCGUGCCAGCAGCCGCGGUAAUACGAAGGGGGCUAGCGUUGUUCGGAUUUACUGGGCGUAAAGCGCACGUAGGCGGACUUUUAAGUCAGGGGUGAAAUCCCGGGGCUCAACCCCGGAACUGCCUUUGAUACUGGACGUCUUGAGUAUGGUAGAGGUGAGUGGAAUUCCGAGUGUAGAGGUGAAAUUCGUAGAUAUUCGGGGGAACACCAGUGGCGAAGGCGGCUCACUGGACCAUUACUGACGCUGAGGUGCGAAAGCGUGGGGAGCAAACAGG